rnacentral:rRNA from 1 species
UAAACUGGGAUUAGAUACCCCACUAUGCUUAGCCCUAAACUACAAUAAUUUAAUAACAAAAUUAUUUGCCUGAGAACUACUGGCCACCGCUUAAAACUCAAAGGACUUGGCGGUACUUUACAUCCAUCUAGAGGAGCCUGUUCUAUAAUCGAUAAACCCCGUUAUACCUUACCAUUCCUUGCUAAUUCAGCCUAUAUACCGCCAUCUUCAGCAAACCUUAAAAAAGAACAACAGUAAGCAAGAGAAUCACCAUAAAAACGUUAGGUCAAGGUGUAGCCUAUGGAAUGGGAAGUAAUGGGCUACAUUUUCUAAGUAAGAACAUUACGAAACCCUUUAUGAAAUCUAAAGGACAAAGGAGGAUUUAGUAGUAAAUUAAGAAUAGAGUGCUUAAUUGAAUAGAGCAAUGAAGUACGUACACACCGCCCGUCACCCUCCUCAAAUUAAAUGAACACAAUACAAAUACAUAAUAAAAUUAACAAGUUUAUGAGAGGAGACAAGUCGUAACAAGGUAAGCAUACUGGAAAGUGA